ensembl:lncRNA OLMALINC oligodendrocyte maturation-associated long intergenic non-coding RNA
CAGAGCUCAUUUUUAUUCCUGUCUGCAAUCGUGCAAAAACGCCUCUUAUGGAAAAGCCAGAGCGCCAGGAGUCAGCAAAACACACUAAAGAUUGGGCAGUCACUGGGGAGAACGUGAGUAAAAGCACAGGAACAGCAAAGCGUUCAGGAACGUUCGAGGCUGACGCAACCGGCGCAGGAAGAUGGCCUGAAGCAACUGAAGAUCCACAAAAGAAGUGAAAAUAGCCUUAACUGAUGACAUUCCACCAUUGAGAUUUGUUCCUGCCCCACCCUAACUGAUACGAUAUAUUCUCCCCCGCCCUUAAGAAGACUCAGCCCGCCUGCACCCAGGUGAAAUAUACAGCCUUGUUGCUCACACAAAGCCUGUUUGGUGGUUUCUUCACACGGAUGCAUGUGACAUUUGGUGCUGAAGACCCAGGACAGGAGGACUCCUUUGGGAGACCAGUGCCCUGUUGUCGCCCUCACUCCGUGAGGAGAUCCACCUAUGAUCUCAGGUCCUCAGACCAACCAGCCCAAGGAACAUCUUGCCAAUUUCAAAUCGGGUUGUCAGAAUCUGCAGAGAAGCUUCCUCCAAUCUCCAGCCUGAGAGUUCAGGCCUGGUUACCAGCAUUCUAGAAGCUGAAAGAGGAGAAGUUCUUGGAAGACUAAGAAGUCCAACAUUCGAUGGCACACAAGGAGAUUAUAUCCCGCACCUGGCUUGGAGGAUCCUACGCCCAUGGAGCCUCGCUCAUUGGUGGCACAGCAGUCUGAGAUCAAACUGCAAGGUGGCAGCGAGGCUGGGGGCAGGGCGCCCACCAUUGCCGAGGCUUGAGUAGGUAAACAAAGCACCCGGGAAGCUCGAACUGGGUGGAGCCCACCCCAGCUCAAGGAGGCCUGCCUGCCUCUGUAGACUCCACCUCUGGGGGCAGGGCAUAGCCAAACAAAGGCAGCUGAAACCUCUGCAGACUUAAAUGUCCCUAUCUGACAGCUUUGAAGAGAGUAGUGGUUCUCCCAGCACGCAGCUUGAGAUCUGAGAAUGGACAGACUGCCUCCUCAAGUGGGUCCCUGACCCACAAGUAGCUUAACUGGGAGGCAACCCCCAGUAGGGGCAGACUGACACCUCACACGGCCAGGCACUCCUCUGAGACAAAACUUCCACAGGAAUGAUCAGGCAGCAACAUUUGCUGUUCACCAAUAUCUGCUGUUCUGCAGCCUCCGCUGCUGAUACCCAGGCAAACAGGGUCUGGAGUGGACCUCCAGCAAACUCCAACAGACCUGCAGCUGAGGGUCCUGACUGUUAGAAGGAAAACUAACAAACAGAUAGGACAUCCACACCAAAACCCCAUCUGUACGUCACCAUCAUCAAAGACCAAAGGUAGAUAAAAUCACAAAGAUGGGGAAAAAACAGAGCAGAAAAACUGGAAACUCUAAAAAUCAGAGUGCCUCUCCUUCUCCAAAGGAAUGCAGCUCCUCACCAGCAGUGGAACAAAGCUGGAUGGAGAAUGACUUUGACGAGUUGAGAGAAGAAGGCUUCAGAUGAUCAAACUAGUCCGAGCUAAAGGAGGAAGUUCGAACCCAUGGCAAAGAAGUUAAAAACCUUGAAAAAAAAUUAGAUGAAUGGCUAACUAGAAUAACCAAUGCAGAGAAGUCCCUAAAGGACCUGAUGGAGCUGAAAACCACGGCACAAGAACUAUGUGACGAAUGCACAAGCCUCAGUAGCCGAUUCAAUCAACUGGAAGAAAGGGUAUCAGUGUUGGAAGAUCAAAUGAAUGAAAUGAAGUGAGAAGAGAAGUUUAGAGAAAAAAGAAUAACAAGAAAUGAACAAAGCCUCCAAGAAAUAUGGGACUAUGUGAAAAGACCAAAUCUACAUCUGAUUGGUGUACCUGAAAGUGACGGGGAGAAUGGAACCAAGUUGGAAAACACUCUGCAGGAUAUUAUCCAGGAGAACUUCCCCAAUCUAGCAAGGCAGGCCAACAUUCAAAUUAAGGAAAUACAGAGAACACCACAAAGAUACUCCUUGAGAAGAGCAACUCCAAGACACAUAAUUGUCAGAUUCACCAAAGUUGAAAUGAAGGAAAAAAUGUUAAGGGCAGCCAGAGAGAAAGGUUGGGUUACCCACAAAGGGAAGCCCAUCAGACUAACAGCUGAUCUCUUGGCAGAAACUCUACAAGCCAGAAGAGAGUGGGGGCCAAUAUUCAACAUUCUUAAAGAAAAGAAUUUUCAACCCAGAAUUUCAUAUCCAGCCAAACUAAGCUUCAUAAGUGAAGGAGAAAUAAAAUCCUUUACAGACAAGCAAAUGCUGAGAGAUUUUGUCACCACCAGGCCUGCCCUAAAAGAGCUCCUGAAUGAAGCACUAAACAUGGAAAGGAACAACCGGUACCAGCCACUGCAAAAACAUGUCAAAUGGUAAAGACCAUUGAGGCUAGGAAGAAACUGCAUCAACUAACGAGCAAAAUAACCAGCUAACAUCAUAAUGACAGGAUCAAAUUCACACAUAAUAAUAUUAACCUUAAAUGUAAAUGGGCUAAAUGCCCCAAUUAAAAGACACAGACUGGCAAAUUGAAUAAAGAGUCAAGACUCAUCAGUGUGCUGUAUUCAGGAAACCCAUCUCACGUGCAGAGACACACAUAGGCUCAAAAUAAAGGGAUGGAGGAAGAUCUACCAAGCAAAUGGAAAACAAAAAAAGGCAGGGGUUGCAAUCCCAGUCUCUGACAAAGCAGACUUUAAACCAACAAAGAUCAAAAGAGACAAAGAAGGCCAUUACAUAAUGGUAAAGGGAUCAAUUCAACAAGAAGAGCUAACUAUCCUAAACAUAUAUGCACCCAACACAGGAGCACCCAGAUUCAUAAAGCAAGUCCUUAGAGACCUACAAAGAGACUUAGACUCCCACACAAUAAUAAUGGGAGACUUUAACACCCCACUGUCAACAUUAGACAGAUCAACGAGACAGAAAGUUAACAAGGAUAUCCAGGAAUUGAACUCAGCUCUGCACCAAGCAUACCUAAUAGACAUCUACAGAACUCUCCACCCCAAAUCAACAGAAUAUACAUUCUUUUCAGCACCACACCACACCUAUUCCAAAACUGACCACAUAGUUGGAAGUAAAGCACUCCUCAGCAAAUGUAAAAGAACAGAAAUUAUAACAAACUGUCUCUCAGACCACAGUGCAAUCAAACUAGAACUCAGGAUUAAGAAACUCACUCAAAACCGCUCAAGUACAUGGAAACUGAACAACCUGCUCCUGAAUGACUACUGGGUAUAUAACAAAAUGAAGGCAGAAAUAAAGAUGUUAUUUGAAACCAAUGAGAACAAAGACACAACAUACCAGAAUCUCUGGGACACAUUCAAAGCAGUGUGUAGAGGGAAAUUUAUAGCACUAAAUGCCCACAAGAGAAAGCAGGAAAGAUCUAAAAUUGACACCCUAACAUCACAAUUAAAAGAACUAGAGAAGCAAGAGCAAACACAUUCAAAAGCUGGCAGAAGGCAACAAAUAACUAAGAUCAGAGCAGAACUGAAGGAAAUAGAGACACAAAAAACCCUUCAAAAAAUCAAUGAGUCCAGGAGCUGGUUUUUUGAAAAGAUCAACAAAAUUGAUAGACCACUAGCAAGACUAAUAAAGAAGAAAAGAGAGAAGAAUCAAAUAGACGCAAUAAAAAAAUGAUAGAGGGGAUAUCACCACCGAUCCCACAGAAAUACAAACUACCAUCAGAGAAUACUAUAAACACCUCUAUGCAAAUAAACUAGAAAAUCUAGAAGAAAUGGAUAAAUUCCUCGACACAUACACCCUCCCAAGACUAAACCAGGAAGAAGUUGA